rnacentral:rRNA from 1 species
CCUACGGGGGGCUGCAGUGGGGAAUAUUGCACAAUGGGGGAAACCCUGAUGCAGCCAUGCCGCGUGUGUGAAGAAGGCCUUCGGGUUGUAAAGCACUUUCAGCGAGGAGGAAAGGGUGUAAGUUAAUACCUUACAUCUGUGACGUUACUCGCAGAAGAAGCACCGGCUAACUCCGUGCCAGCAGCCGCGGUAAUACGGAGGGUGCGAGCGUUAAUCGGAAUUACUGGGCGUAAAGCGUGCGCAGGCGGUUUGUUAAGCGAGAUGUGAAAGCCCCGGGCUCAACCUGGGAACCGCAUUUCGAACUGGCAAACUAGAGUCUUGUAGAGGGGGGUAGAAUUCCAGGUGUAGCGGUGAAAUGCGUAGAGAUCUGGAGGAAUACCGGUGGCGAAGGCGGCCCCCUGGACAAAGACUGACGCUCAGGCACGAAAGCGUGGGGAGCAAACAGGAUUAGAUACCCGAGUAGUC